GCUAGCGUGGCGGAAAUGGUAGACGCACGACGGAGUGGUCGAGGAUGCAGGUUCGAAACCUGCCGCUAGCC
rnacentral:tRNA from 1 species